rnacentral:rRNA from 1 species
UGGGGAGCAAACAGGAUUAGAUACCCUGGUAGUCCACGCCGUAAACGAUGUCUACUUGGAGGUUGUGCCCUUGAGGCGUGGCUUCCGGAGCUAACGCGUUAAGUAGACCGCCUGGGGAGUACGGCCGCAAGGUUAAAACUCAAAUGAAUUGACGGGGGCCCGCACAAGCGGUGGAGCAUGUGGUUUAAUUCGAUGCAACGCGAAGAACCUUACCUGGUCUUGACAUCCACAGAAYUYUSCAGAGAUGCGGAAGUGCCUUCGGGAACUGUGAGACAGGUGCUGCAUGGCUGUCGUCAGCUCGUGUUGUGAAAUGUUGGGUUAAGUCCCGCAACGAGCGCAACCCUUAUCCUUUGUUGCCAGCGGUUAGGCCGGGAACUCAAAGGAGACUGCCAGUGAUAAACUGGAGGAAGGUGGGGAUGACGUCAAGUCAUCAUGGCCCUUACGACCAGGGCUACACACGUGCUACAAUGGCGCAUACAAAGAGAAGCGACCUCGCGAGAGCAAGCGGACCUCAUAAAGUGCGUCGUAGUCCGGAUUGGAGUCUGCAACUCGACUCCAUGAAGUCGGAAUCGCUAGUAAUCGUGGAUCAGAAUGCCACGGUGAAUACGUUCCCGGGCC